rnacentral:rRNA from 1 species
AUUGAACGCUGGCGGCAUGCCUUACACAUGCAAGUCGAACGGCAGCACGGGAGCAAUCCUGGUGGCGAGUGGCGAAACGGGUGAGUAAUAUAUCGGAACGUGCCCAGUCGUGGGGAUAACGUAGCGAAGCUACGCUAAUACCGCAUACGAUCUACGGAUGAAAGCGGGGGAUCGCAAGGCCUCGCACUAUUGGAGUGGCCGAUGUCAGAUUAGCUAGUUGGUGGGGUAAAGCCUACCAAGGCGACGAUCUGUAGCUGGUCUGAGAGGACGAUCAGCCACACUGGAACUGAGACACGGUCCAGACUCCUACGGGAGGCAGCAGUGGGGAAUUUUGGACAAUGGGCGCAAGCCUGAUCCAGCCAUGCCGCGUGAGUGACGAAGGCCUUCGGGUCGUAAACUCUGUCCUAAGGGACGAUAAUGACGGUACCUUAGGGGAAGCCCCGGCUAACUACGUGCCAGCAGCCGCGGUAAUAGUACUCU